AGAUUAAGUUAUUAAGGGCGCACGGUGGAUGCCUUGGCACUAGAAGCCGAUGAAGGACGUUACUAACGACGAUAUGCUUUGGGGAGCUGUAAGUAAGCUUUGAUCCAGAGAUUUCCGAAUGGGGAAACCCAGCAUGAGUUAUGUCAUGUUAUCGAUAUGUGAAUACAUAGCAUAUCAGAAGGCACACCCGGAGAACUGAAACAUCUUAGUACCCGGAGGAAGAGAAAGAAAAUUCGAUUCCCUUAGUAGCGGCGAGCGAAACGGGAAGAGCCCAAACCAACAAGCUUGCUUGUUGGGGUUGUAGGACACUCUAUACGGAGUUACAAAGGACGACAUUAGACGAAUCAUCUGGAAAGAUGAAUCAAAGAAGGUAAUAAUCCUGUAGUCGAAAAUGUUGUCUCUCUUGAGUGGAUCCUGAGUACGACGGAGCACGUGAAAUUCCGUCGGAAUCUGGGAGGACCAUCUCCUAAGGCUAAAUACUCUCUAGUGACCGAUAGUGAACCAGUACCGUGAGGGAAAGGUGAAAAGCACCCCGGAAGGGGAGUGAAAUAGAACCUGAAACCGUGUGCUUACAAGUAGUCAGAGCCCGUUAAUGGGUGAUGGCGUGCCUUUUGUAGAAUGAACCGGCGAGUUACGAUUUGAUGCAAGGUUAAGCAGUAAAUGUGGAGCCGUAGCGAAAGCGAGUCUGAAUAGGGCGUUUAGUAUUUGGUCGUAGACCCGAAACCAGGUGAUCUACCCUUGGUCAGGUUGAAGUUCAGGUAACACUGAAUGGAGGACCGAACCGACUUACGUUGAAAAGUGAGCGGAUGAACUGAGGGUAGCGGAGAAAUUCCAAUCGAACCUGGAGAUAGCUGGUUCUCUCCGAAAUAGCUUUAGGGCUAGCCUCAAGUGAUGAUUAUUGGAGGUAGAGCACUGUUUGGACGAGGGGCCCCUCUCGGGUUACCGAAUUCAGACAAACUCCGAAUGCCAAUUAAUUUAACUUGGGAGUCAGAACAUGGGUGAUAAGGUCCGUGUUCGAAAGGGAAACAGCCCAGACCACCAGCUAAGGUCCCAAAAUAUAUGUUAAGUGGAAAAGGAUGUGGCGUUGCCCAGACAACUAGGAUGUUGGCUUAGAAGCAGCCAUCAUUUAAAGAGUGCGUAAUAGCUCACUAGUCGAGUGACACUGCGCCGAAAAUGUACCGGGGCUAAACAUAUUACCGAAGCUGUGGAUUGUCCUUUGGACAAUGGUAGGAGAGCGUUCUAAGGGCGUUGAAGCAUGAUCGUAAGGACAUGUGGAGCGCUUAGAAGUGAGAAUGCCGGUGUGAGUAGCGAAAGACGGGUGAGAAUCCCGUCCACCGAUUGACUAAGGUUUCCAGAGGAAGGCUCGUCCGCUCUGGGUUAGUCGGGUCCUAAGCUGAGGCCGACAGGCGUAGGCGAUGGAUAACAGGUUGAUAUUCCUGUACCACCUAUAAUCGUUUUAAUCGAUGGGGGGACGCAGUAGGAUAGGCGAAGCGUGCGAUUGGAUUGCACGUCUAAGCAGUAAGGCUGAGUAUUAGGCAAAUCCGGUACUCGUUAAGGCUGAGCUGUGAUGGGGAGAAGACAUUGAGUCUUCGAGUCGUUGAUUUCACACUGCCGAGAAAAGCCUCUAGAUAGAAAAUAGGUGCCCGUACCGCAAACCGACACAGGUAGUCAAGAUGAGAAUUCUAAGGUGAGCGAGCGAACUCUCGUUAAGGAACUCGGCAAAAUGACCCCGUAACUUCGGGAGAAGGGGUGCUCUUUAGGGUUAACGCCCAGAAGAGCCGCAGUGAAUAGGCCCAAGCGACUGUUUAUCAAAAACACAGGUCUCUGCUAAACCGUAAGGUGAUGUAUAGGGGCUGACGCCUGCCCGGUGCUGGAAGGUUAAGAGGAGUGGUUAGCUUCUGCGAAGCUACGAAUCGAAGCCCCAGUAAACGGCGGCCGUAACUAUAACGGUCCUAAGGUAGCGAAAUUCCUUGUCGGGUAAGUUCCGACCCGCACGAAAGGCGUAACGAUUUGGGCACUGUCUCAACGAGAGACUCGGUGAAAUCAUAGUACCUGUGAAGAUGCAGGUUACCCGCGACAGGACGGAAAGACCCCGUGGAGCUUUACUGUAGCCUGAUAUUGAAAUUCGGCACAGCUUGUACAGGAUAGGUAGGAGCCUUUGAAACGUGAGCGCUAGCUUACGUGGAGGCGCUGGUGGGAUACUACCCUAGCUGUGUUGGCUUUCUAACCCGCACCACUUAUCGUGGUGGGAGACAGUGUCAAGCGGGCAGUUUGACUGGGGCGGUCGCCUCCUAAAAGGUAACGGAGGCGCUCAAAGGUUCCCUCAGAAUGGUUGGAAAUCAUUCAUAGAGUGCAAAGGCAUAAGGGAGCUUGACUGCGAGACCUACAAGUCGAGCAGGGUCGAAAGACGGACUUAGUGAUCCGGUGGUUCCGCAUGGAAGGGCCAUCGCUCAACGGAUAAAAGCUACCCCGGGGAUAACAGGCUUAUCUCCCCCAAGAGUUCACAUCGACGGGGAGGUUUGGCACCUCGAUGUCGGCUCAUCGCAUCCUGGGGCUGUAGUCGGUCCCAAGGGUUGGGCUGUUCGCCCAUUAAAGCGGUACGCGAGCUGGGUUCAGAACGUCGUGAGACAGUUCGGUCCCUAUCCGUCGUGGGCGUAGGAAAUUUGAGAGGAGCUGUCCUUAGUACGAGAGGACCGGGAUGGACAUACCUCUGGUGUACCAGUUGUCGUGCCAACGGCAUAGCUGGGUAGCUAUGUGUGGACGGGAUAAGUGCUGAAAGCAUCUAAGCAUGAAGCCCCCCUCAAGAUGAGAUUUCACAAC
rnacentral:rRNA from 1 species